GACGAACCACACAAACGUUAUUCGGAAUUACUGGGCUUAAAGGGUGCGUAGGCGGCGCAGAAAGUAGGGUGUGAAAUCCCUCGGCUCAACCGAGGAACUGCGCCCUAAACUACUGUGCUCGAGGGAGGUAGAGGUGAGCGGAACUUAGGGUGGAGCGGUGAAAUGCGUUGAUAUCCUAAGGAACACCGGUGGCGAAAGCGGCUCACUGGACCGACACUGACACUGAGGAGCGAAAGCCAGGGGAGCAAACGGG
rnacentral:rRNA from 1 species